AAGAUGGAGAGAGACAGACCUUUAUCCCCAACACCCUGAGAAGGAACAAGAUGAAAGCCAUUAUCCUGUGCGCUCUGCUAGCCACCGUCCUGAUUCAGGCUGUGGUCAGUGAUGAUGUGGAGCAAUCUGAGAAUGCAGUUAUUGGAGCUGUGGAUCAAACUGAGCAAGGGGUCGUAGAAGCUGCAGGUCAAACUGAGCAAGAGCAUAAGAUCCGUCGCCGCCGUCGCUUGCCUGCUUAUUAAGACCCUAUGGCAACUGGCAAGUUUCAAGGGGUUGACAGCAUUGAACAUUGCAAUCUUUUGAUUUGAUUUCUUGGGUCUGAGUCCUCGUCGAGUCUUGGGUGCUCUUGAACCUACUGCUCCCCUAUACUCUGAUUUUACCCCCAGUCUUCCCUGCUGAGUUUUCCUAAUCUCAGUUAUGUGCUUCUCCCCGACAUACAAUACCCUAUCCCAAUAAAUCUUGGCUGCUAAUA